AUGAACGCUGGCGGCAGGCCUAACACAUGCAAGUCGAGCGAAGUCUUCGGACUUAGCGGCGGACGGGUGAGUAACGCGUGGGAACAUGCCCUUUGGUGCGGAAUAGCCCCGGGAAACUGGGAGUAAUACCGCAUGUGCCCUUCGGGGGAAAGAUUUAUCGCCAAAGGAUUGGCCCGCGUUGGAUUAGGUAGUUGGUGGGGUAAUGGCCUACCAAGCCGACGAUCCAUAGCUGGUUUGAGAGGAUGAUCAGCCACACUGGGACUGAGACACGGCCCAGACUCCUACGGGAGGCAGCAGUGGGGAAUCUUAGACAAUGGGCGCAAGCCUGAUCUAGCCAUGCCGCGUGAUCGAUGAAGGCCUUAGGGUUGUAAAGAUCUUUCAGUGGGGAAGAUAAUGACGGUACCCACAGAAGAAGCCCCGGCUAACUCCGUG
rnacentral:rRNA from 1 species